rnacentral:tRNA from 1 species
AAUGAAAUUGGUUGUCACUAGCAUGGGGUGCUAGUGGUCGAAGGUUCAAAUCCUUCCGUCCCGACCA